AGCAGCCGCGGUAAUUCCAGCUCCAAUAGCGUAUAUUAAAGUUGCUGCAGUUAAAAAGCUCGUAGUUGAAUUUCGGGACUAAUAUGUCGGUCGUGCCUCGGUACGUACUGGCUUAUUGGUUUCUCCUUUCUGAAGAACCAUGAUGUCAUUUAUUUGGUGUCGUGGGGAAUCAGGACUGUUACUUUGAAAAAAUUAGAGUGUUUAAAGCAGGCUCACGCUUGAAUACAUUAGCAUGGAAUAAUGAAAUAGGACGUUUGAUUCUAUUUUGUUGGUUUCUAGGAUCGACGUAAUGAUUAAUAGGGAUAGUUGGGGGCAUUAGUAUUCAAUUGUCAGAGGUGAAAUUCUUGGAUUUAUUGAAGACUAACUACUGCGAAAGCAUUUGCCAAGGAUGUUUUCAUUAAUCAAGAACGAAAGUUAGGGGAUCGAAGACGAUCAGAUACCGUCGUAGUC
rnacentral:rRNA from 2 species